UACGAGGGGGGCGAGCGUUUGUUCGGAAUUAUUGGGCGUAAAGGGUGCGUAGGCGGCCUGACAAGUCUGAUGUGGAAAUCCCUGGGCUCAACCCAGGGCCUGCAUCGGAAACUGUCGGGCUUGAGUAUGGGAGAGGUGAGUGGAAUUUCCGGUGUAGCGGUGAAAUGCGUAGAUAUCGGAAGGAACACCUGUGGCGAAAGCGGCUCACUGGACCAUUACUGACGCUGAGGCACGAAAGCUAGGGGAGCAAACAGG
rnacentral:rRNA from 1 species